rnacentral:rRNA from 1 species
UACGGAGGGUGCAAGCGUUAUCCGGAUUCACUGGGUUUAAAGGGUGCGUAGGUGGGUUGCCAAGUCCGUGGUGAAAUCUCCGAGCUUAACUCGGAAACUGCCGUGGAUACUGGUAAUCUUGAAUAUCGUGGAGGUAAGCGGAAUAUGUCAUGUAGCGGUGAAAUGCUUAGAUAUGACAUAGAACACCGAUAGCGAAGGCAGCUUGCUACACGAUUAUUGACACUGAGGCACGAAAGCGUGGGGAGCAAAUAGGAUUAGAUACCCUGGUAGUCCACGCCCUAAACGAUGAUUACUCGACAUACGCGAUACACAGUGUGUGUCUGAGCGAAAGCAUUAAGUAAUCCACCUGGGAAGUACGACCGCAAGGUUGAA